rnacentral:rRNA from 1 species
GAUGAACGCUGGCGGCGUGCCUAAUACAUGCCAGUCGAGCGAACGGACGAGAAGCUUGCUUCUCUGAUGUUAGCGGCGGACGGGUGAGUAACACGUGGAUAACCUACCUAUAAGACUGGGAUAACUUCGGGAAACCGUAGCUAAUACCGGAUAAUAUUUUGAACCGCAUGGUUCAAAAGUGAAAGACGGUCUUGCUGUCACUUAUAGAUGGAUCCGCGCUGCAUUAGCUAGUUGGUAAGGUAACGGCUUACCAAGGAAACGAUGCAUAGCCGACCUGAGAGGGUGAUCGGCCACACUGGAACUGAGACACGGUCCAGACUCCUACGGGAGGCAGCAGUAGGGAAUCUUCCGCAAUGGGCGAAAGCCUGACGGAGCAACGCCGCGUGAGUGAUGAAGGUCUUCGGAUCGUAAAACUCUGUUAUUAGGGAAGAACAUAUGUGUAAGUAACUGUGCACAUCUUGACGGUACCUAAUCAGAAAGCCACGGCUAACUACGUG